GAGAAAGAAUUUAAAGUCGGGCCUGCCCACUGAGUAUUUGAAGGGCCGCGGUAUUUUGACCGUGCAAAGGUAGCAUAAUCAUUAGUCUUUUAAUUGAAGGCUGGAAUGAAUGGUUUGACGAAGCAUUGACUGUCUCUUUAUAAAGCGUAGAAUUUAACUUUUGAGUCAAAAGGCUUAAAUAAUAGUAGAGGACGAGAAGACCCUAUAGAGUUUUAUAUAAAUAAUGGAUAAAUCUUAUAUGGUAGUUUUCGGAUUUAAUUAUUAUUUGUAUUGUGUUGGGGUGACAUAAAGAUAUAGAAAACUCUUUAUUAUUGUAAACAUAAAUUUAUGGAUAGAUGAUCCAUUAUUAGUGAUUAUAAGAUAAAAUUACCUUAGGGAUAACAGCGUAAUUUUCCUUGAGAGUUCAUAUCGAAAGGAAAGUUUGCGACCUCGAUGUUGGACUAAGAUAAUGAUUUGGUGUAGCAGCUAAAUUAAUAAGUCUGUUCGACUUUUAAAAUCUUAC
rnacentral:rRNA from 1 species